GGUCGGUUAGCUCAGUUGGCAGAGCAUCGCAAUAACAACUCUCCCUGAAGAGAUAUACCUGCGAAGGUCAUAGGUUCAAUCCCCAUACUGACCA